rnacentral:lncRNA from 10 species
CCGACAUUUCUCAAAAGAAGACAUACAAACGGCUAACAGGUAUAUGAGAAAAUGCUCAACAUCACUAAUCAUCAGAGAAAUGCAAAUCAAAACCACAAUGAGAUACAAGCUUACCCCAAUCAGAACGGCUAUUAUUAAAAAGACAAAGCCUGGCGCAGUGGCUCACGCCUGUAAUCCCAGCACUUUGGGAGGCAGAGUUGGG